GUGCCUAAUACAUGCAAGUAGAACGCUGAAGACUUUAGCUUGCUAAAGUUGGAAGAGUUGCGAACGGGUGAGUAACGCGUAGGUAACCUGCCUACUAGCGGGGGAUAACUAUUGGAAACGAUAGCUAAUACCGCAUAACAGCAUUUAACCCAUGUUAGAUGCUUGAAAGGAGCAAUUGCUUCACUAGUAGAUGGACCUGCGUUGUAUUAGCUAGUUGGUGAGGUAACGGCUCACCAAGGCGACGAUACAUAGCCGACCUGAGAGGGUGAUCGGCCACACUGGGACUGAGACACGGCCCAGACUCCUACGGGAGGCAGCAGUAGGGAAUCUUCGGCAAUGGGGGCAACCCUGACCGAGCAACGCCGCGUGAGUGAAGAAGGUUUUCGGAUCGUAAAGCUCUGUUGUAAGAGAAGAACGUGUGUGAGAGUGGAAAGUUCACACAGUGACGGUAACUUACCAGAAAGGGACGGCUAACUACGUGCCAGCAGCCGCGGUAAUACGUAGGUCCCGAGCGUUGUCCGGAUUUAUUGGGCGUAAAGCGAGCGCAGGCGGUUUAAUAAGUCUGAAGUUAAAGGCAGUGGCUUAACCAUUGUUCGCUUUGGAAACUGUUAGACUUGAGUGCA
rnacentral:rRNA from 1 species